rnacentral:lncRNA from 1 species
GGAAAUGCUAUCGAGUCAGAACACCUGUCUGAGCUCACUGAGGAGGAGUACGAAGCUCACUACAUCAGACAGCAGGACCUCAAAGGCUUCAUGUGGUUGGAUGCCAAGUAUCUGAACCCCUUCUUUACACGGCGGCUGACACAGGAGGACCUCCAUCACGGGCGUAUCCAGAUGAAAAGCCUCACCAACAAAUGGUAUGAGGAGGUCCGUCAGGGACCAUCGGGCUCUGAGGAUGAUGAGCAGGAGCUGUUCUGAGCCCACAGUGCCUCCCAGAGCCUCCUCAGAACACAAGAUGGUAGGUCAAGGGCUAGUCCUAGCUAGGAAGCUUCAGGCCUCUGGAGCAUGCUGGCUUCCGAAAUGUGAUAGGCCUCUAUGACUCAUGGAACCAGACAGACCCAGGCCAGUGUUGUUCCUGGGCCUGUAGAGGAUGGCAGUCGCCAGCCUCCUCCUGCCUCUCUGCCAGGCCACAGAGAAAACUUUGGGAGGCUGCUUGCUCAUCUCACACCUGUCUGGGCCAUGCCUUCCUCACACCUCUGGAGCAGCUGCUGGCGGGCACAUCUGCCAUUGUCUCUGAAUUGUCAAGGUGCCUUGGUGUCGGCAGCAGCAACUUCGACCUGUACCAAGGCCAAGAGACUCUGAAGCCUCACAGUCCCUGUUCUGUGUCUUGCACUCCCUAAGAGAAAGACUGAAGGCCUGGUACUUCCAGCCUGCCUUUGGAAAGGCCGCUAUGGCCCACCGUCCUGUGGGCACAAUGCAGAUGUUUACACUGGUGCCUGGCAGGGGUCAGCCUGUAGGCUUCCAGGAAAGGUGUUCGCCCAUCGCCUGGGCUUGGAGUGUUCUCUGAAGAGACAAAAUGGAAGCACAGGAUCCUUGGGGGCACCUUUCCCAAGUGUGGGAGUCACCUCCAUGUCUCCUCUCCCACCAUCUCAUCUCUCAUUUCUGCCCUCUGUCUCCCCAGUAGCCUCUUUCUAGACCCUGUAAUGUGAAACUCUUUCCAUCUACCUGCUCUUCAGAGCCGAGCUUUGUCUUUUACCAAUUUCUGGAGCUCUGCCCUCCAUGCUGGGGCCCCAGCUCUCCAAGACACCAGGGCUGUGCUCCCCACUUUGGCCACUUGGAUUCCGGUGACUUUGGGCCACAGAAAUACGCACCCAUGCAUGUCACAGGAUAAGGUGCUGGAUCAUACCACAGGCAAUGGUUGUUGCCUGAUGUCCUCACCUGCCCUUUUAUAACUGCUGUCCUCUGCCCAUCCGUGGCCCUUUGGCAAUUACCCAUGUGGCCCUAGUCCCCCAUUGUACUCUGGGUGGCUUAGUUGUGUAUGAUCCUGACUCACAAUGGGGACACAGUGGGCUUUGUUACAGGUGGUUCUGACCUCAAGUGCUGUGGUUCUGAUGUUGGGAAGGUCAACCAGGCCUCUAAGGCCCUGCCACCUCACUGUGCUGCAGAACUGGGUGAGGGUGAGGUUGGAAGCAUGUAGUUUGCUUCUGUACAUACAGUCCUCUUCCUUGGCUCUCACCUUAGCACUGGAUCUGGAGCUGCUCUGGCCCUGUGUACUUUUGGGAUAAAGGGGCUGCGCUCAGGCUGGGUUCUUCUCUUUCUCAGAACUCAGGCUCCGUCUUUGAGAUGGAGUCAGGCCACUGUUCAGCUGGCCCCUUGUCUCCAGGUCUCCUGUCCCUGGGACAUUUCUUGGCCUCCUAUUU